GGGUUUGCUUGGUGUCGUUUGUAUCGUUUCGGUGUCUGACUCGGGAGAGGAAAGUUUAUCGUCUGAAAUCCCAUGCUUGUCUUAGCUGUUUACGGUGCAGUAUAUACAAACGGUGUCGGUUCCUGUUUUGUGCUUGUAAAUUAGUAGGAAGGAAAAGGUGGACUGAAUCCUUGGUAGUGCCCUGAAAUUAGAGUAGGUUCUUUUUUAAAGCCGCCCUGAGGGCAUAUUUCUAGGAAGUAAUAUGAAGAAACCAAAAGUCUAUUUUUGUCGUUUCCACAGGUGGUGUAGCAUAGGUUUUGUGAAUCAUAAAUGGUACUGCGAGAUCCUCAAUUUUAUUUUUAUUUAUUUUUCAUUUGCUAGAUUUAAUUUAAUUUUUUGUUUUUUUUUGAGAUCCUCAGUUUUAGAUCCAAGUAUCUCCAAUCCUCUCUUUUCAUGAACAAUUAUUACUGAAUAGAUGGUGGCAUUUAAACUGGGACUCUUGCCCUGGUCCUCUAACUUUCAGUACAAAGAAGAGACCAUUUUUUCUUGAUCUGCCUAGAUCUCCAUUGGUCUUCUUCUUUUUUUUAAUGUUUAUGUAUUUUUUUUAGAGCGAGAGAGCAUGAGUGGGGGAGGAGCAGAUAGGGAGGGAGACACAGAAUCCGAAGCAGCCUCCAGGCUCUGAGAUGUCAGCACAGAGCAGAUGUGGGGCUCAAACACACCCUGAGCUCAAGUCGGACACUUAACUGACUGAGCCACUCAGACGCCCUUCCACUCCCCUCUACCAUUUGCAUUGGCCUGCUUAGUCCUUAAGAUAAACUGUCAAAAGCAUAUCUUUGCUAUAUACUUAAAGACUUCCAUGCAAGUCCUUUAUCACCCUCCUUUAUACUUUUGCUGGCCAUGCAUCUUUUCUAUAUAUAAAUUUUAGACCCAACACCAGCCAUAUUGUAUGCCAUAUUAGACCAUUUGUGUACAUUUUUUCUAAUCUUAAUAACCACCCCUAUAUUCUACGUAUUACGUGUAAGCGCUGUGAACUUCCGAGUGGGACCAGAAAAGGAACUUGCCACUACAUGAAUACCAAGAAAGGAACAAACCGCACGUUUCAGAGUGUUGAGUGGGCCUCUGGUCCACCUAAGAUACCCUGAGAACAUAGCCAGUGAGGAUCACUCUAAUUCUCCUCUAACACUUCUUCAACCCAUUGUCUUGGUGCACCCUUUUAGGGCCUUCAACUCAGCAGGUGCAGAACCCAAGACCUGGAGGGUCCCAAGAGAACAGGUCAAACUGGUGGCCAAGUCGGGGGCCAGGGCCCGUCUACUGUGCAUCCUGUGGUGACCUUUGUAGUUUGCACGUGAUCUCUCCUGGCCAGUAUCAUAAGCUACACUGUGGGUUGUGCAUGUGUUGUCUACAUAUCGACUGCUAAGAAAAUAAAUAACAUGUCUGAAAAAACA